rnacentral:rRNA from 4 species
AUCACUGGUGUUCGGGUUGUCAUGCCAAUGGCACUGCCCGGUAGCUAAAUGCGGAAGAGAUAAGUGCUGAAAGCAUCUAAGCACGAAACUUGCCCCGAGAUGAGUUCUCCCUGACUCCUUGAGAGUCCUGAAGGAACGUUGAAGACGACGACGUUGAUAGGCCGGGUGUGUAAGCGCAGCGAUGCGUUGAGCUAACCGGUACUAAUGAACCGUGAGGCUUAACCUUACAACGCCGAAGGUGUUU